UUUCCUCCUCCCCUUAUUGUACAUUACAUCAGUUAAUAGGUAUUUAUACAUGAUGCAUUUCACUUUCUGACAGAAUGCCGUGGUGUCAUGUUUGCUGAGGAGGUGAUACCCAGGUCCUUUCUGAACGGUUCCUGACUGGAGCAGCAAGAAAUGAGGCAGCUGGAUUUCACAGAGUUUUGGUAACCUUGGAGAAACAAGUUACAGCAACCAUCAGCCCAGGCGACAAAUUUGCAAGCAGGCCAGGGUGUAAGCGGGAGGAUCUGAUCUGAGGUAUUUCUACUGGAAGAAAAUUCUGAAAUUUCAAAAUGGCAGAGUCUUCCAGAAGUGGAAAUACAUUGGUUGAGAGGAAGCGUAAGAUCCCAAACUGCAGAGACAACACGUGUAUCCAAGGCCGAACAAAAAGAGCCGGAGAAUGGGGUAUAAGUGCUUGUCAAUGUCAGACCCGAUCAUUGUCAAACAGGGGCUGGAUUCUGCAGCUACGCUGCAUACAGCGCUCCUGUUUCCUUCAGUGGUGCUCCCAAGCCACAGCGAGGAAUGCCUAGAGAGAUGGAUAAAGGCAGACAGACAUAGAUACAGACUGACAGAAUCAACCCCCAGAUGGAGGUUGCUUGAAUUUACCAGAAAUUAAGAUGCUGUACUGCUUAAGAAAGAGUUCCAUGAUCUCAUUAAGUCUCUUUUGUGUCUCUCUUUUCAUUUUAUCCUCCACUUUCCUCCUAAAAAAGAAAAAAAACCCACAUACACACACAAAAAAAUCCCAACAACUUUAUGUCAUUUGCAGAUUGAAUUAGAGGAAAAUUGCCUAUGGACUAAAUAAAAUGUUUGUGUACUUUUCUACUAGCGAAGUC
rnacentral:lncRNA from 1 species